GAGAGUCGGCAGACCAAGCGAAGUAUUCAUGAUGCUCUGUGCGUUGCAAGGAAUCUGAUCAUCAACAACUCAAUUGUGUAUGGUGGUGGCUCAGAAUAUCUUGCUCAAUUGUUGUUGAAGCCGCAGCGGAUCGGCAUCCUGAAGUUGAGCAGUAUGCAAUCAGGGCGCUUGCUGAUGCUUUGGAUGCUAUCCCACUAGCUUUAGCUGAAAACAGUGGUUUGCAGCCUAUUGAUACUCUCACCGUAGUAAAAUCCCAACAUGUCAAGAGGGUCAAUGUCAAAGGGUCAUAUUUAUCCAGCGGUCCUUCCUGUCAAAAGCAAGAAAAUGUCCUGAAAGGUUUGUUGACAGUUAUACAAGGUUCAUCUGCUUAUCUUUUUCUUUUUUGUCAUUACUUUGAAUCUGUAGAUUUGCUAAUAUGUUGUCAUGUUAUCUUAUUUCACCACUGUCAUGAGGGCUUAUAGUUCUGCCGUUUUGCUCAACCCAGAAUAUGGAACUGCCGGAAUGUUUAAAAUGUUGGAAACUAUCGGUGGAAGCUACAAGAUUUAUUUAUCAAAACUCAUUACCAAUCAGAUUAGAGAGAUUCUUGAGGUUCCAAGUCUGUCGGAGGAAGGCUCGUCCGUCGUCAAGAGGAACUCGCUGUCAAUUCAUCUGUAGGACAACAUCAUUCUCACCCUUGCUUGGUCUGUAAAAACAUAAUUGAUUGUGAGCUAUGAGAGAUUAUGUUGCUGUGAUGUGAUUGAUAUUGCUGUGAUGAGAUACUGAUUCCAAGUCAAGAUGUGAAGAACUGCUGUCACAUUUUUAUUAGGUGUCAUUCACAAUUUUAUAGCA